rnacentral:rRNA from 1 species
UACGUAGGGUGCGAGCGUUAAUCGGAAUUACUGGGCGUAAAGCGUACGCAGGCGGCUAUGUAAGACAGGUGUGAAAUCCCCGGGCCUAACCUGGGAACUGCAUUUGUGACUGCAUAGCUAGAGUCCGUCAGAGGGGGGUGGAAUUCCACGUGUAGCAGUGAAAUGCGUAGAGAUGUGGAGGAACACCGAUGGCGAAGGCAGCCCUCUGGGAUGAGACUGACGCUCAUGUACGAAAGCGUGGGGAGCAAACAGG